GAUGAACGCUAGCGGCGUGGAUAAGGCAUGCAAGUCGAGGGACCCGCCUUCGGGUGGGGACCGGCGAAUGGGUUAGUAACACGUAGAUACAUACCACCUACACAGGCAUAACUCAUCGAAAGAUGAGCUAAUUCCUGAUAGUCCUGCCCUCGGGCAGGUAAAGGUUUCGAGCAAUCGAUUCCGGUGGAUGAAUGGUCUGCGGCUUAUCAGCUUGUUGGUGAGGUAAUGGCUCACCAAGGCAAUGACGGGUAGGGGAUAUGAGAGUGUGUUCCCCAACAAGGGCACUGCGACACGGGCCCUACUCCUACGGGAGGCAGCAGUCGAGAAUAAUUCGCAAUGGGCGAAAGCCUGACGAUGCGACGCCGCGUGCUCGAAGAAGCCCUUCGGGGUGUAAAGAGCUUUUCUGGAGGAAGAACCCGCCCUCGGGUGGGUGACGGUACUCCAGGAAUAAGGAGAUGCUAAUCACGUGCCAGCAGCAGCGGUAAUACGUGAUCUCCAAGCGUUAUCCGGAUUUAUUGGGCGUAAAGCGUUCGUAGGCGGUUAGAUAAGUCUCUGGUUAAAGCCCCAUGGCUUAACUAUGGGAAUGUCAGAGAUACUGUCUGACUAGAGGGCGUUAGAGGCUGAUGGAACGGUCGGUGUAGGGGUGAAAUCCGUUGAUAUCGACCGGAACACUAAAAGCGAAGGCAUUCAGCUGGAGCGACCCUGACGCUGAGGAACGAAAGCGUGGGUAGCAAAAAGGAUUAGAUACCCUUGUAGUCCACGCUGUAAACGAUGGACACUAGCUAUUUGAAGUGUCGACCCUUCAAGUGGCGAAGCUAACGCGUUAAGUGUCCCGCCUGGGGAGUACGGCCGCAAGGCUAAAACUCAAAGGAAUAGACGGGGCUUCACACAAGCGGUGGACCAUGUGGCUUAAUUCGACAAUAAGCGAAGAACCUUACCAGGGCUUGACACCUAGUCGAAACCCGCCAGAAACGGCGGACUCCCACAAGGCGGCUAGGCAGGUGCUGCACGGCUGUCGUCAGUUCGUACAUUGAAGCGUACGCUUAAGUGCGGUAACGAACGCAACCCUCGCUCUAUGUUUUAUCUGUCAUAGAGAACUGCCCGAGAUAAUCGGGAGGAAGGUGAGGAUAACGCCAAGUCAGCGUGGCCCUUUGAUGCCCUGGGCUGCACACGUGGUACAAUGGGACCGACAAUGGGCGAAACCGCAAGGUAGAGAUAAUCCCAUCAAACGGUCUCUCAGUUCGGAUUGAGGUCUGAAACUCGACCUCAUGAAGCCGGAAUCGCUAGUAAUCGCCAAUCAGCCAUGUGGCGAUGAGUAUGUUUCUGAAGCUUGUACUCACCGCCCGUCACAUUAAGGGAGCCGGCAGUAGCCGAAGUCUCUGCUUAGCAGGGCCUAAGCUAAAGUCGGUAACAAGAAUG
rnacentral:rRNA from 1 species